CCUACGGGGGGCUGCAGUGGGGAAUAUUGCACAAUGGGGGAAACCCUGAUGCAGCAAAGCCGCGUGAGUGAGGAAGUAUUUCGGUAUGUAAAGCUCUAUCAGCAGGGAAUAGACAAGAAGGUACCUGCCCCAGAAGCCCCGGCUAACUACGUGCCAGCAGCCGCGGUACUACGUAGGGGGCAAGCGUUAUCCGGAUUUACUGGGUGUAAAGGGAGCGUAGACGGAAAGGCAAGUCAGAAGGGAAAACCCAAGGCGAAACGCUGGGACUGCUUGUGAAACUGUCAAACUAGAGUACGGGAGAGGUAAGAGGAAUUCGUAGUGUAGCGGUGAAAUGCGUAGAUAUUAGGAGGAACACCAGUGGCGAAGGCGUCUUACUGGACCGAAACUGACGUUGAGGCUCGAAAGCGUGGGGAGCAAACAGGAUUAGAUACCCUUGUAGUC
rnacentral:rRNA from 1 species